AGAGAAGCUUCGGGACACAACUUGGAGUCCCUCUUUCUGCCGGUCCCAGGGCCAGGGAUCAAAAGAGAGUUGACAGCAAAAUGGCCCAGCAUCCUGCCCUGGCCUCCACCCCGGCCCGGCGCCCCGGCGGCCACACACACACACACACACACACACACACACACACACACACACACUUUCUUGGACUUCAGGAAACCAGCCUUUGUUCCCCAGACGCAGAACUGGGCUCCAGUUACCGAGUCCCCACCUCCCUCAGAGCCGGUCCCAGGGCGCUUCUGGGAAAAAGCCGCAUUUCUCCCGCGUCCCCAGUGCUGGGACCUGCGGCUGCCACCCCGCCCCGAGCUCCGGGACACACGCGCGCGCACCCGCACCCGCACACCGACCACCGCGCGCACCGCCGUUUGCAGCCGCUCUCGCCUGCGGAGCUCGCCGCGCGCCCCCGCGGCACCAGCACCCACGCCCCACGUGCCCUCGAGGCCGGACCCGGACCCUAGGGCGCCUGGGCUGCGGGCACCGACCGGGGAGCGCCCGCGCCCACCCGCGCCCGGGACCCCGCGCCCCGGACCCCGCGCCCCGGACCCCGCGCCCCGGACCCCGGACCCUGCACCCGGGACCCCGCGCGCCGGACCCCGCAGCCCCGCAGCCCCCUGGCGGAGCCGCUCUCACCCCGGCCUUUGUCCUCCCGCCGCCGCGGCCCGGCUCCCGAGCGCCCGCCGCCGCCGCCGCCGCCGUCGGAGCGCCAGCCCAGCCAGCCCAGCCCAGCCCAGCCCAGCCUCGCGGCCGCCGUCCCACCCACAGCUCCGGCUCGGCUCGGCUCGGCCCGGGCGGGGGGCGCGCGGCAAAGCCCGGAUCGGCGGAGCGCGGCCCGCGCCCGGCACGCGACCCCUGACCCCGCCGCCCCCGCCCCCGCCCCCGCCCCGCCCCCGCCCCCUGCAGUCCGCUUCUCCGGGUCUUCGGGCCGACCGCGCGGUGGGCCCCGCCGCCCCGGGGACCCGGCUGGGGAAGGGUCGCGCCGGGGGCCGCGGCGGGCGGGGGGAGCCCCGCGCGCUCCCAGCGGGGUUCGCGCCCCGCCCCCCCCCCCCUCGUCUCCCCGCGCCCACCUCGAGGGCCUUCCCAGCUCCCACCCGGAGCUCCGGGCACCGGCCUGGGGGCGCCCCCUGCGCCCGGGAAAUGCUUUCUCCUCGGUUCUCCCCGAAGGCUCCCCCCGCCCCAGCCCUGCACGCCCGCGGGACCGAGAUCUGGAGCCGCUCCAACCGCCGCGGACCGCGCGGGCCAGGGCAUCCGGGCAGAAGUGGGGAGAGCACCUUGCCGCUGGGGGCCAGGCAAGACUGA
rnacentral:lncRNA from 1 species